ensembl:lncRNA
CGUACUCCCAUGUGGUAACUUGGCUCCGUAUCCCGGCCGUGUGGUCUAGCUAACUGUUGUCUCUGUGGGUCAGUGUGGGGAGGAGGCAGAGUUCGGGCCGGCUGCUUUGUGGGGGUUUUGUUUUUUAAAAAGCCUGCUGACAUCCCUCUUCAUUCUGGAGAGUGUCGUCACUGGGGAGGGGGGCGUGGGAGGAAAGGGUUAUACAAAGGCAUGAGCCCCUUAUGGACUGGGAGAGAGAGGAAUGGGGGUCUUGGCUUGGUUGGUGGACCUUUCGGUGAUGGAGUCAGGACUGUCGCAUUGUCUAUCAAAUCUACAGGAGAACUCAAUCUGCCAGUCGGAGUGAAGGACCAAUGAAGCAAUGGAUCAUCCAAACAACACUUACACAACUGAAGCUGUCAUGCAUCUGUCAUGUGUCUUGUCAUAAUUUCUUGGUUUCAUUGAUUGUACCAGAAGUUAUUAUUAUUUAUUUUAGAUACAGUACUUGAGUUACUUUUGUCAUUUUAAUGAAGCUCAAUUCACAACAAUUCCCCAAAUACAAUCAUGUUUUGUUUCUGAAGUUCUUAAAGAACAGCACAAUGAACACUGUGUUCCAGAUGUUGUGUCAUCAUGUUUUUAAUACAAAUUUGGAGAAUUUGAAGCACAAAAAUCAACAGGAUUCAUUCUUUUGGAAUCAUGAAUGUUGUGGAAUAUUUUGCACAGACAAUCGGUGAAUAAGAAUAAGGCUCCGAGUCAAAUAUGUCUUUCUCCGUUUAUUUCCUCGCAAGGGAAAAAAGGUCAAAACAGCUACGUGCUCAGUAGACUGCAAAGAACCUUUCUCCUCUCACAUUAGGGCCAGGCGGUUCUUAUACCUACAGGUGGCCUUCAAACCAACUCGUUGUGUCUCUACAGCCAGGAGACGGGCAUCUUGUCAGUGUGAGACACCCAGCUCAAUUCUUUUUCACGUCC